rnacentral:rRNA from 1 species
AGGGAUCAUUACUGAGUUUACGCUCUACAACCCUUUGUGAACAUACCUAUAACUGUUGCUUCGGCGGGUAGGGUCUCCGCGACCCUCCCGGCCUCCCGCCUCCGGGCGGGUCGGCGCCCGCCGGAGGAUAACCAAACUCUGAUUUAACGACGUUUCUUCUGAGUGGUACAAGCAAAUAAUCAAAACUUUUAACAACGGAUCUCUUGGUUCUGGCAUCGAUGAAGAACGCAGCGAAAUGCGAUAAGUAAUGUGAAUUGCAGAAUUCAGUGAAUCAUCGAAUCUUUGAACGCACAUUGCGCCCGCCAGCAUUCUGGCGGGCAUGCCUGUUCGAGCGUCAUUUCAACCCUCAAGCUCUGCUUGGUGUUGGGGCCCUACAGCUGAUGUAGGCCCUCAAAGGUAGUGGCGGACCCUCUCGGAGCCUCCUUUGCGUAGUAACUUUACGUCUCGCACUGGGAUCCGGAGGGACUCUUGCCGUAAAACCCCCAAUUUUCCAAAGGUUGACCUCGGAUCAGGUAGGAAUACCCGCUGAA